ensembl:misc_RNA 7SK 7SK RNA
GGAUGUGCAGGCAAUCUGGCUGCGGCAUCUGUCACCCCACUGAUUGCCAGGGUUGAUUUGGCUGAUUUGGCUGGCUAGGCAGUGUCCCUUUCCUCCCUCACCAUUCUGUGUGCAUCCCUCUCAAAGCUGCGGGUGCGACCAUCCCAAUAGGGGAGGACCGGCCUUCAGUAAAGGGUAUAUGAGUAGCUGUGCUCCCCUGCUGCAACCUCCAAACAAGCUCUCAAGUAAUUCAUGAACAAAUGUUACUAUCACAAAACAUAAGAGUAUUUUUUUUCCUGAAUUUAAAA